UACGUAGGGUGCAAGCGUUAAUCGGAAUUACUGGGCGUAAAGCGUGCGCAGGCGGUUUUGUAAGUCUGUCGUGAAAUCCCCCGGGCUUAACCUGGGAAUUGCGAUGGAGACUGCAAGGCUGGAGUCUGGCAGAGGGGGGGUAGAAUUCCACGUGUAGCAGUGAAAUGCGUAGAGAUGUGGAGGAACACCGAUGGCGAAGGCAGCCCCCUGGGUCAAGACUGACGCUCAUGCACGAAAGCGUGGGGAGCAAACAGGG
rnacentral:rRNA from 1 species